rnacentral:rRNA from 1 species
UACGUAGGGUCCGAGCGUUGUCCGGAAUUACUGGGCGUAAAGAGCUCGUAGGUGGUUUGUCGCGUUGUUCGUGAAAACUCACAGCUUAACCCUGAGCCUGCUUCCGAUACGGGCAGACUAGAGGUAUGCAGGGGAGAACGGAAUUCCUGGUGUAGCGGUGAAAUGCGUAGAUAUCAAGAGGAACACCUGAGGUGAAGACGGGUUGCUGGGCCGACACUGGCGCUGAGUGCGCGAAAGCCAGGGGAGCAAACGGG